rnacentral:rRNA from 1 species
UACGAAGGGGGCUAGCGUUGCUCGGAUUGACUGGGCGUAAAGGGCGCGUAGGCGGUUCGUACAGUCAGACGUGAAAUUCCUGGGCUCAACCUGGGGGCUGCGUUUGAUACGUGCGGACUGAGUGCGGAAGAGGGUCGUGGAAUUCCCAGUGUAGAGGUGAAAUUCGUAGAUAUUGGGAGGAACACCGGUGGCGAGGCGGUUCUCUGGGCCUUACCUGACGCGAGGAGCGAAAGCCGUGGGGGAGGCGAAACAGG